CGUACCUUUUGUAUAAUGGGUCAGCGACUUAUAUUCUGUAGCAAGGUUAACCGAAUAGGGGAGCCGGAGGGAAACCGAGUCUUAAUUGGGCGUUAAGUUGCAGGGUAUAGACCCGAAACCCGGUGAUCUAGCCAUGGGCAGGUUGAAGGUUGGGUAACACUAACUGGAGGACCGAACCGACUAAUGUUGAAAAAUUAGCGGAUGACCUGUGGCUGGGGGUGAAAGGCCAAUCAAACCGGGAGAUAGCUGGUUCUCCCCGAAAGCUAUUUAGGUAGCGCCUCGUGAAUUCAUCUCCGGGGGUAGAGCACUGUUUCGGCUAGGGGGCCAUCCCGGCUUACCAACCCGAUGCAAACUGCGAAUACCGGAGAAUGUUAUCACGGGAGACACACGGCGGGUGCUAACGUCCGUCGUGAAGAGGGAAACAACCCAGACCGCCAGCUAAGGUCCCAAAGUCAUGGUUAAGUGGGAAACGAUGUGGGAAGGCCCAGACAGCCAGGAUGUUGGCUUAGAAGCAGCCAUCAUUUAAAGAAAGCGUAAUAGCUCACUGGUCGAGUCGGCCUGCGCGGAAGAUGUAACGGGGCUAAACCAUGCACCGAAGCUGCGGCAGCGACACUCAGGUGUUGUUGGGUAGGGGAGCGUUCUGUAAGCCUGUGAAGGUGUGUCGUGAGGCAUGCUGGAGGUAUCAGAAGUGCGAAUGCUGACAUAAGUAACGAUAAAGCGGGUGAAAAGCCCGCUCGCCGGAAGACCAAGGGUUCCUGUCCAACGUUAAUCGGGGCAGGGUGAGUCGACCCCUAAGGCGAGGCCGAAAGGCGUAGUCGAUGGGAAACGGGUUAAUAUUCCCGUACUUGGUGUUACUGCGAAGGGGGGACGGAGAAGGCUAUGUUGGCCGGGCGACGGUUGUCCCGGUUUAAGCGUGUAGGUGUGUGUUCCAGGUAAAUCCGGUCCACUUUAACACUGAGGCGUGAUGACGAGGCACUACGGUGCUGAAGCAACAAAUGCCCUGCUUCCAGGAAAAGCCUCUAAGCAUCAGGUAACAUCAAAUCGUACCCCAAACCGACACAGGUGGUCAGGUAGAGAAUACCAAGGCGCUUGAGAGAACUCGGGUGAAGGAACUAGGCAAAAUGGUGCCGUAACUUCGGGAGAAGGCACGCUGACACGUAGGUGAAGUGAUUUACUCAUGGAGCUGAAGUCAGUCGAAGAUACCAGCUGGCUGCAACUGUUUAUUAAAAACACAGCACUGUGCAAACACGAAAGUGGACGUAUACGGUGUGACGCCUGCCCGGUGCCGGAAGGUUAAUUGAUGGGGUCAGCGCAAGCGAAGCUCCUGAUCGAAGCCCCGGUAAACGGCGGCCGUAACUAUAACGGUCCUAAGGUAGCGAAAUUCCUUGUCGGGUAAGUUCCGACCUGCACGAAUGGCGUAAUGAUGGCCAGGCUGUCUCCACCCGAGACUCAGUGAAAUUGAACUCGCUGUGAAGAUGCAGUGUACCCGCGGCAAGACGGAAAGACCCCGUGAACCUUUACUAUAGCUUGACACUGAACAUUGAGCCUUGAUGUGUAG
rnacentral:rRNA from 1 species